CCGAUCCUCCCUGCUCUCCCGCCAGCCAUCAAUCUCCAUCGUCGCUCUCCUCCCAAUCUUCAGUGGCAUCGGGCUUCCCCCUCCAAUCUCCUACAGGUGCUCUCCUUUCCACAGGUCCGCCUCUGUCGUGCUCGUUCUCCCUGGAUCGCCGCUCCCUCGGACCUCAACUGUCGCUCCCAAGCCCCCGUCUCCCUUUGACCGCCA
rnacentral:lncRNA from 1 species